rnacentral:lncRNA from 1 species
CAAGCUAGACAGAAUGAAAUCUGGUACAUAGAACUGACCACAGUGGCAUACACUGACAAAAAGGAAAACCAUCAUCCGAGACAGCUGCAGACCCAGCAUUAUGCAACCGUUGCCCCCAUUAUCACCAUAGGUGCAAUCCUCAAUCACCAUCCCCACCCCCAUCGAGCCGCCUCCACCCUCAGCCACUCGACUCAAACAUCACUACAGCUCUUCACCACCACGACAACCACACCAAACGCUAGGUCAGCCAUUGCCUCAGGUAUGCGCAUACUAAUAAUCCCGCCGAGCACCGGUGCCCCCACAUAACCCUAACCCUAACCAGCAAAGGGUGUGGUGGGUGCGUGCAUAGCGCGGUAGGUGAGGGGGGGACUUGUUUUUCUUGCCGAAUCGGCACGUAUCGCCGAGUCGACGCGAGUCGAGCGUCUUCAUCUUGCAUUCUCACUGAGUUGCACGCCACCAAAUAAAGGGAAGGAGAGUGGACGAGGAGAUGCGAGCUUACCCCUGCUAGAAGAUGGUAGGGCAGGAGGAGCACACCUUGGUCCGUUGGCCGCCUCCGUGCGGAGGAGGGGAAGCAGACUCGCUGCGUCGAGG